UAAACGACUCUCGGCAACGGAUAUCUCGGCUCUCGCAUCGAUGAAGAACGUAGCGAAAUGCGAUACUUGGUGUGAAUUGCAGAAUCCCGCGAACCAUCGAGUCUUUGAACGCAAGUUGCGCCCGAAGCCAUUAGGUUGAGGGCACGUCUGCCUGGGCGUCUCACGU
rnacentral:rRNA from 1 species